rnacentral:sRNA from 1 species
GCUGGGCGUAAUGGCCCAUGCCUGUAGUCCCAGCUACUUGGGAGGCUGAGGUGGGCGGAUGGCUUGAGCCCAGGCGUUUGAGGCUGCAGUGGGCUAUGAUCAUGCCACUGCAUUCCAGCCUGGGUGACAGAGUGAGACCCCAACUCUU